UACGUAGGUGGCAAGCGUUGUCCGGAUUUACUGGGCGUAAAGGGCGCGCAGGCGGUCGAUUAAGUCGAAUGUGAAAGCCCCCGGCUCAACUGGGGAGGGUCAUUCGAUACUGAUCGACUUGAAGGCAGGAGAGGGUAGUGGAAUUCCCGGUGUAGUGGUGAAAUGCGUAGAUAUCGGGAGGAACACCAGUGGCGAAGGCGACUACCUGGCCUGUUCUUGACGCUGAGGCGCGAAAGCUGGGGGAGCAAACGGG
rnacentral:rRNA from 1 species